CUGCCACUGAGGAGUCCCAUAAUAGGACGAAACGGCCAUCAAGCAG
rnacentral:hammerhead_ribozyme from 1 species